GCGUCGUGGGUGGUGGCGGCUGUGGUAAGAAGGUGGGUGCGGGCGUUGGUCGGAGUGAUUGGGCGUAAAGGGCGUGUAGGCGGCGUGACAAGUCGGGGGUUAAAGCCCUCAGCGCAACGGAGGAAGUGCGCCCGAAACGGGUGUGCUUGAGGGCCGGAGAGGGUGGCGGAAUUCCACAAGUAGAGGUGAAAUUCGUAGAUAUGGGGAGGAACACCGGUGGCGAAGGCGGCCACCUGGACGGUAACUGACGCUGAGACGCGAAAGCGUGGGGAGCAAACAGGAUUAGAUACCCUAGUAGUC
rnacentral:rRNA from 1 species